UACGUAGGGUGCGAGCGUUGUCCGGAAUUACUGGGCGUAAAGAGCUCGUAGGCGGUUUGUCGCGUUGUUCGUGAAAACUCACAACUCAAUUGUGGGCGUGCGGGCGAUACGGGCAGACUGGAGUACUGCAGGGGAGACUGGAAUUCCUGGUGUAGCGGUGAAAUGCGCAGAUAUCAGGAGGAACACCGGUGGCGAAGGCGGGUCUCUGGGCCGAUACUGACGCUGAGGAGCGAAAGCGUGGGGAGCGAACAGG
rnacentral:rRNA from 1 species